AACGAACGCUGGCGGCAGGCUUAACACAUGCAAGUCGAACGGGCACUUCGGUGUCAGUGGCAGACGGGUGAGUAACACGUGGGAACAUACCCUUCGGUUCGGAACAACGCCGGGAAACUGGCGCUAAUACCGGAUACGGCCUCUGGGCGAAAGAUUGAUCGCCGAAGGAUUGGCCCGCGUUCGAUUAGCUUGAUGGUGCGGGUAACGGCCCACCAUGGCGACGAUCGAUAGCUGGUCUGAGAGGAUGGCCAGCCACACUGGGACUGAGACACGGCCCAGACUCCUACGGGAGGCAGCAGUGGGGAAUAUUGGACAAUGGGCGCAAGCCUGAUCCAGCCAUGCCGCGUGAGUGAUGACGGCCUUAGGGUUGUAAAGCUCUUUCACUGAUGAUGAUUAUGACGUUAAUCAGAGAAGAAGCCCCGGCUAACUACGUGCCAGCCGCCGCAGUAACAC
rnacentral:rRNA from 1 species